CCUACGGGGGGCUGCAGUGAGGAAUAUUGGUCAAUGGCCGGAAGGCUGAACCAGCCAUGUCGCGUGAAGGUCAGUGCCCUAUGGGCUUUAAACUUCUUUUGUGUGGGAGCAAUAAUGGUCACGUGUGGCCAGACGAGAGUACCGUACGAAUAAGCAUCGGCUAACUCCGUGCCAGCAGCCGCGGUAAUACGGGGGAUGCAAGCGUUAUCCGGAUUUAAUGGGUUUAAAGGGUGCGUAGGCUGUGAGGUAAGUCAGCGGUGAAAUGCCCCCGCUCAACGGGGUGAAGUGCCAUUGAUACUGCCGUGCUGGAAUGCGAAGGCAGUGGGAGGAAUGUGUGGUGUAGCGGUGAAAUGCAUAGAUAUCACACAGAACACCGAUUGCGAAGGCAGCUCACGAGUCCGCGAUUGACGCUGAUGCACGAAAGCGUGGGUAUCAAACAGGAUUAGAUAUCCCUGUAGUC
rnacentral:rRNA from 1 species